rnacentral:rRNA from 1 species
GACGAACGCUGGCGGCGUGCUUAACACAUGCAAGUCGAACGGAAAGGCCCUGCUUUUGUGGGGUGCUCGAGUGGCGAACGGGUGAGUAACACGUGAGUAACCUGCCCUUGACUUUGGGAUAACUUCAGGAAACUGGGGCUAAUACCGGAUAGGAGCUCCUGCUGCAUGGUGGGGGUUGGAAAGUUUCGGCGGUUGGGGAUGGACUCGCGGCUUAUCAGCUUGUUGGUGGGGUAGUGGCUUACCAAGGCUUUGACGGGUAGUCGGCCUGAGAGGGUGACCGGCCACAUUGGGACUGAGAUACGGCCCAGACUCCUACGGGAGGCAGCAGUGGGGAAUAUUGCACAAUGGGCGGAAGCCUGAUGCAGCAACGCCGCGCGCGGGAUGACGGCCUUCGGGUUGUAAACCGCUUUCGCCUGUGACGAAGCGUGAGUGACGGUAAUGGGUAAAGAAGCACCGGCUAACUACGUG